CAAUGCACAAGAAGAAAAGUUCAGAACAAGUAACUCAGAAAAAGAAAUUAUAUUUCAUGUUCAAAUCACACAAUCUAAACCGGGCUAACAGAAACUGAUCACUGCAGUUAUAAGCCUAGUUCUCAGAGCUUCGUAGUGUCGCCAGCGACAGUAUUCCAGCCAAUAAGAGCAUGUAAACAAAACUUCCCCUGACCCCUUCUUUUUCAUUUCUGGUUGUCGAGAAGUGUCGCGAAACGACCCUUUUGUAGUUGAAAUAUUCCAACUACACCUCGAAUUUCGAAAAUCACAAGUAAAUAUAACCUAUCUGUCAGCCGCAAAAACAGUUGUUUUUGAUUUUAGAUAUUCUUUUCAGUAUUUUUUAAUCAUGGUAUAUUUUCCAUCUAAAUUCAGAAUGGAGUUUUUCUACAAGUAUACAGCUUUAUAUUCGUGGCGAAAGGCGAAAUAAAAUAAGGAGAAGAAGGUGGAUUCACUAGGCCACUGCGGCAGAUAGGUAUUUAACUUCCUAAUGAACCAUGGGAGUUCACUGCUAUAUACUCCAUGAAUAUUCAUUUGGCCAAUCCGUAAUAGAUAUAUGAAAAUGAAUACAAAAAGUGCCUAUUUCAUUGAAAUUCCCAAAACAAAUCAAAGAGUAGCUGAGCGUUACUCCCACAAAAUAAACAAGAUUGGAGGUUUUGAUCCAUACAUUUAAGCAAGAGAUAUACGAGGUUACAUUCCUGAUGGAAUAUGAUGAUAUUGUGGUUUUUCUAGUUUUCACAACCAGUUUUUAAACAAAUCAGCAAAUGAAAGCAUUCAAGCGCUUAUCAGCCUACAAAUGCUCGCAUUAUAUCUGGGUUUCGCUGUUUCAAACAAAAUAUUAUGUGUAUUAAGUUCUUCACAAAAGGGUCAGAACAGAUGAAUUGGUGUAUAUGUAGAGAAGGGAAUAAUGACCAUUUUAUGAUAAAAUGCUGCUAUGAGGAUUGUGAUAUAUAUUGGAUCCGAUCCAUGCGGAAAGUGUUGGGCUGACCAUUGUUCCUGACCAAUCGUUCAGCAGCUUUUGUACAAGCAAUUUACACAUGGAAAGAAUAUUUUUUUUAAAUGUAUAUACAUAAUAUGAUGUAAUGUGGUUGUAUUGAAUUUUCUCGAAAAGAUGCACUGUUCUAUACAAGAGGUGUAUUUACUAUAAAUAUAAAAAAGAUACAAUAUGAAAAUAUAAUUGGUUCAAAAAUAGGAACAGUACAAAAUUAUAUCCAGUAAAAAAAUAUUCAACGCAUACAUCAUAAAUAUAAUGAGUAUAGAAUAUAUCCCAUAUAUUUGAAUAGCUCUUUCAAUAGCAUCAAAUAAUUUUAGUCGUCUUUUGUCUCGAGUCAUUUGAGUAACACUUCUUAUCUUAUACUGUCUCUAUUUCUUCGGCCUCCACAUCCAUAUGCAAGAGGAUGGCAUAAUUAUUCAUUUCCUCCCAAAAUACUGCUUGACUUGCCCAUGUUAUUGAAUACUUUCAUGGCCUCUGUACUAAUGUAAAUUUUA